GCUGGGCGUGGUGGCGCACACCUGUAAUCCCAGCGGCUCAGGAGGCUGAGGUAUGAGGAUCAUGAGUUCAAAGCCAGCCUCAGCAACAGCGAGGCGCUAAACAACUCAGUGAGACCCUGUCUCUA
rnacentral:sRNA from 1 species